ensembl:lncRNA
UCGCUGUUAGCCUAGUGUAACUCCAUUCUUUUAAACUUGGAAUAUAGUGCUCACAGCACAUUACUCUCUCACAACUAUCUGUCAUCGAUGCAUAACCCCCCAUGUUUGUCUACAUACGAUUGCCUACAAAGAAGCUGAAAGCUGGUGAUUCCAUAAGGAAGCUGUACCAUUUGAGAGAGAGAAAAGAGGACAAAACACAGUAAGAUUAACUUCACAUUGUUCCCAGUGAACAAAGAGGGCGUGUGAGGAAGCCAGGACAGGCCAGGACCAGCCCCCCGAGGGCCAGAUGGCCGGCUCAGUAGUCUGCUUAGCGCCGUGCUCAGGGCUCCAGAGCCCACAGGCCAGACCCCUGCCCUUACUGACAUGGAGGCACGUGCUCAGUCCGGACACAGAGCCAUAGGCAACCAGAGUUCAGCAUGAUCCACACUGGCAUAAGUGUCAUGAAGCUAUAUAACAAUAGUACAUUCCAAGGAACAAAGUCUGAUCAGCUAAUGUAGCCUAUGAACUGACAUCUGGACAGUGAUAAAAAAAAAAGCUUUUUCACGUGACAAUGACAAUUCUGCUCACAUAAAAGAUUGUUUAUGUGAGCAGCACACUGCACUUGAAAUGUGUUUUCAGGAUUUAUAGAAAAUAAUCUUAUGGUACAGUAGCUUUCCAGGAACCGGGUAGGAAAGCUCUGCCACAGAGAAUCCAACCAGAAGAUGGGAGGUGAAGUUACAGAGGGGGGAUGAUUAGUAUUUGUGGAGCCAGACGGAAUGUAGUUCACCUCUAGGACAUGAAACAUGGAGGACAGUACUGCUGAUUAGGAUCUGGUCUGGACAGACAGGUUCGUAAAUGUAGUACUUAAAAUAAUAGCUCAAUCACACCAGAUCUCCUGGUCACUCUCAUCUACGACUCAUCUGCUACCUUAACAUAGAACUCGAAAAAUCAGGUAAGGACCAUGCAGUCUGUGUUCCCAAACAGGAUUGUCCGGUGUUUCUCAGUUGGUAGGGCAUGGCAACUGAAAUGCCA